GAUUAACGCUGGCGGCGUGCCUAACACAUGCAAGUCGAACGAAGUGGCGGACGGGUGAGUAACGCGUGAGUAACCUGCCUUAGAGAAGGGGAUAGCCUUUGGAAACGAAGAAUAAUACCCUAUGCUCUAAGAUGGACUUGCGUCUGAUUAGUUAGUUGGUGGGGUAACGGGCCACCAAGACAGCGAUCAGUAGCCGGCUUGGGGAGGUGUACGACAACAUUGGGGCUGAGACACGGCCCAGACUCUACGGGAGGCAGCAGUGGGGACUUUUGCACAAUGGGGGAAGCCCUGAUGCAGCGACGCCGCGUGAUUUAGAAGCCCUUCGGGUUGUAAAAGUCUUUUAUAUGGGAAGCAGUACCAUAGGAAUAAGGACCGGCUAAUUACGUGCCAGCAGCCGCGGUAAUUC
rnacentral:rRNA from 1 species